rnacentral:rRNA from 1 species
UACGUAGGGUGCGAGCGUUAAUCGGAAUUACUGGGCGUAAAGUGUGCGCAGGUGGCCGCGCAUGUCGAGUGUGAAAUCCCCGGGCUUAACCUGGGAACUGCAUUUGUGACUGCACGGCUAGAGUGCGGCAGAGGGGGAUGGAAUUCCGCGUGUAGCAGUGAAAUGCGUAGAUAUCGGAAGGAACAUCAGUGGCGAAAGCGACUUCCUGGACCAAUACUGACGCUCAUGUGCGAAAGCGUGGGGAGCAAACAGG